rnacentral:rRNA from 1 species
UAGAGUUUGAUCCUGGCUCAGAUUGAACGCUGGCGGCAUGCCUUACACAUGCAAGUCGGACGGCAGCGCGGGAGCAAUCCUGGCGGCGAGUGGUGAACGGGUGAGUAAUACAUCGGAACAUGUCCAGUAGUGGGGGAUAGCCCGGCGAAAGCCGGAUUAAUACCGCAUACGAUCUAUGGAUGAAAGCGGGGGAUCGCAAGACCUCGCGCUAUUGGGGUGGCCGAUGGCGGAUUAGCUAGUUGGUGGGGUAAAGGCCUACCAAGGCGACGAUCCGUAGCUGGUCUGAGAGGACGACCAGCCACACUGGGACUGAGACACGGCCCAGACUCCUACGGGAGGCAGCAGUGGGGAAUUUUGGACAAUGGGGGCAACCCUGAUCCAGCAAUGCCGCGUGUGUGAAGAAGGCCUUCGGGUUGUAAAGCACUUUUGUCCGGGAAGAAAUCCCCUGCCCUAAUACGGCGGGGGGAUGACGGUACCGGAAGAAUAAGCACCGGCUAACUACGUGCCAGCAGCCGCGGUAA